rnacentral:lncRNA from 1 species
UAUACAAUCCUUAAGAUUAAGCAACUGAUCCAUCUAUCAAUAUUUAUUUCCUAUAUUAAUAUAUUUACUUCCUAUAACUUAUAACACUCCUCUUCAAGUUGGAUCAUAAAUGUUAAUCAUACCCAAUUUGUUACAUAUAUAAUCAACUUGAGUCCCAUUUAGAGUUUGAGUGAAAAUAUCUCCUAAUUUUUAUCAAAUAGAUUAAUAUAUUUAGAGAUCUUUUAUAAAAAAUAAAGAGAACAAAAAGAUAAAAAAUCAACAACAUCAACUCUUGGAAAUGGUAACAAUGACUCUAAAAUAAAACAGAAAAUGAAAGGAAAAAAAAAAAAAAAAGCAGGCAAGGCAAAUUGUUUUCCCCUUUUAAUGUUCUUACAUAACAACAGUUCUAAGUGAGCGAAAUUCCUUGUUAGGAAAAUUUCAGAAGAUUAAUGAUGAUUUGAAGGAGAAGGACCAGAAGGACCAGAGGGAGGAGAAGAAGGGAGCUUAACGUCUGUCAAUUUUCUGACAAUCUUUCUAAACUUUCCAUCACCUUGUCUGAAGAUUAAUGGUGAUUGAAGAUUAUCAAUUUCUGCAGGCAUGUGAAGGAUCGGAUGGAUAUUUUUCUCUUUGCUUCUCUCUUCUGAAGUCAGUUCUUCAGCUUCAGCUUCAAGAGAAUGUGAGAUUGAUCCAGCAAAAAUUAAGCAUAAGAAUAGCAACUUCAUCAUCAAACUGCAGAAGAAAUUAAAUUAAAUAAUAUUUGAAAUUGCAUGUUGAACAAAAUAAUUUUAUUUUCUUGAGAAAGAAGUUAAAUUUACCUUGCCAUAAUGAUCUUGGCUCUAAGAAUCUCCUUGUUGAUUUUUUCCUUAUCUACUACUGUAUAUAUAUAUAAUAAAAUUUUUCUGUAAGAAUUUAA